rnacentral:lncRNA from 1 species
GUUGUGCGAGUAGCGGCGGCUUUGUCGCGGGUCUCAUCAUUUCCCGCGUUUUUCUCUGCUGAAAGGUCCGACCGUGCAACGUUGUGGAUUCUCCGGCUCCUGUCAAAGUAUUGCACGAUAUAUACCUCGUUGUCACGUGCGAAGAAGAGGGCGCACGCCAUCAAAUGAAUAGAAAGAAAGGAGCCCGCUCAAAGGCUCUAGCGGCUUGGGCAGAGAUUGUGAUCUUCAAGAAGAAAUGGAGCUCGAGUCCUGAAUAGCUGCACGGUGACAAUCGCGGAGACACAUCGGAGCGCAUGAGAUACAGGCGCUUCGCAACUGAGACUCGGGCAAGAUGGCGGACGCGGCCAGUACUGC